CGCGGUAAGACGGGGGAUGCAAGCGUUAUUCGGAAUUAUUGGGCGUAAAGCGUCUGUAGGUGGCGAGGAAAGUGUUGUGUUAAAGACCAGGGCUCAACCCUGGGAAAGCAUUGCAAACUAUCUCGCUUGAGUUCGGUAGGGGCAGAGAGAAUUCCCAGUGUAGCGGUGAAAUGCGUAGAUAUUGGGAGGAAGACCGGUGGCGAAGGCGUUCUGCUGGGCCGUAACUGACACUCAGAGACGAAAGCUAAGGGAGCAAAUAGGAUUAGAUACCCUAGUAGUCUUAGCUGUAAACGAUGCACACUAUGUUUUGCAAUUUGCAGAGCAAUAGCUAACGCGUUAAGUGUGCCGCCUGGGGAGUACAUUCGCAAGGAUGAAACUCAAAGGAAUUGACGGGGACCCGCACAAGCGGUGGAGCAUGUGGUUUAAUUCGAUGCAACGCGAAGAACCUUACCAAGAAUUGACAUGCUGCGAACAUUUAUGAAAGUAAAGAGUCUAUUAACUUAGUUAAUAGCGCAGACACAGGUGGUGCAUGGUUGUCGUCAGCUCGUGCCGUGAGGUGUUAGGUUAAGUCCUGCAACGAGCGCAACCCUUGUCUUUAGUUAUAUUCUAGAGAGACUGCCGGUGAUAAACCGGAGGAAGGUGAGGAUGACGUCAAAUCAGCAUGCCCCUUACAUCUUGGGCGACUCACGUGCUACAAUGGUCGGGACAAAGAGAUGCUACCCUGCGAAGGCAAGCUAACCUCAAAAACCCGAUCUCAGUUCGGAUUGCAGGCU
rnacentral:rRNA from 1 species